rnacentral:rRNA from 1 species
UAUUGGGCGUAAGCGAGCGCAGGUGGUUUAUUAAGUCUGGUGUAAAAGGCAGUGGCUCAACCAUUGUAUGCAUUGGAAACUGGUAGACUUGAGUGCAGGAGAGGAGAGUGGAAUUCCAUGUGUAGCGGUGAAAUGCGUAGAUAUAUGGAGGAACACCGGUGGCGAAAGCGGCUCUCUGGCCUGUAACUGACACUGAGGCUCGAAAGCGUGGGGAGCAAACAGGAUUAGAUACCC